UACGGGAGGCAGCAGUGAGGAAUAUUGGACAAUGGAGGCAACUCUGAUCCAGCCAUGCCGCGUGCAGGAAGACGGCCCUAUGGGUUGUAAACUGCUUUUAUAUAGGAAGAAACCUUUCCACGUGUGGAAAGCUGACGGUACUAUAAGAAUAAGCACCGGCUAACUCCGUGCCAGCAGCCGCGGUAAU
rnacentral:rRNA from 1 species